UUCUAAUGAACAUGUUCUCCUUUUUUGUUUUUGUUAACAGAAAAGGAACAGUUUUAGUAAUUGGAAAUAUUGUUUGUGUGUUGUAAUUGGACAGCGGCCAGACAACCGUAGAGAUGGUAUCCACAGGUGGUGGGGUUUUUCACUCACUCGUCUACUGAUUCCAUCCCACAUUU